UAAUGAGGCUUUAUGAGGAGGGCUGUUUUGUCCCAGAGAAACCUUUUCAUUUGCCUUGGACAAGCUAAAGGCUGCAAGAGGUACAACAUAUCCCUCCAUUCUGUGGCAGACAGCUAUGUUGGUACAAAGCUGGGAGAGGUGGGUGAUACAUCAGAGGGUUGUUAGGCCUGUCAGAUGGACCUGUGCAGGCUGGACAAUUGGAUCAAAGGAACCUCAUGGAGUCCAACCAUCAAAAUGAAGAGUUACUUUUCUGGGAAGGCAUUAUCAACCCCAUGUACCAAUAUCGACCUGGAAGUGACAAUUUGGAAAGAAACCCUUCAGAGAAGAACAUGAAGGUUUUGGUAGCCAACAGGUUGAGCAUGAGACAGCAACAUGCCCUUCAGCCAAUGGUGUUCUGACUUACAUUAGCCAGAACAUUGCCAGCAGGUUGAAGAAGAUGAUCCUCCCCCUCUACUCAGCAGUAGUGAGGCCUCAGCUGGAGUGCUGUGUCCAGUUCUGGACUUCCCAGUACAAGAGACAAAGAACUGCUGGAGAGGGUCCAGUAAAGGGCUAUGAAGAUGA